UUUCUCCUUCGUCGAUUUCCGACCAUCACCAUGCCACACUGACACCACCGUCCGACUCAGUGGACAAGGAAGAGCGAAACCCGUGAGCAUCAUCACUCGUCGAUGUCGGGAAACCGCCGUACCAGCAUCGUCGGAGGCCUCGGCCCUGCAUGCCCUCGUUCUCUACUCUCCAGCUCGGAUCGAGCUAAACAACCUCCGUAGCUGGAAUCAAGGCUUCACGAUGCAUCAAAGCCAUAGACCCUCAGCCUCCGAUUUCGGCCAGAGCCCCCGCACGCGUCUCACGCGCCACCGCUGGCACGUGAGCCAACCUAGCGUCACCGUGAGCACCACCAGCUUAUUCUCUUCGUUCGGUAAGCUGGAUUCUAUCCCUUCUUCUUAGUGAGGCUUCUACUUUGAUCUAGAUUGAGAACCCUAACUCGAUUUCUUAAUUUGAAAUCUGUGAGGAUUUUGGAAUAUGUGUUCUGGAGGUUUUGGAGGAAGGGAGGUCUGCAAAAUUGUAAGCCUUCGGAGAAGAGAAGUGCUGGGUCAGUUCCAUUUGUAUUGAGGAAAGGUGCCCAAAGCAAUUGUUGGAGCUGGAUUGCAGCAAUUGGAUUUAGCCCUCAGUUUGGAGAAGAAGAAAUGGACCCGAGCGUGUGCAUUUGGAAGUGGACAAAGUGUUGAAAGUCGAGAACGAACCCGAAUGUGGGCAAGCACUCCAAUUCCAGGUAGGGUGAGCUGUCCCUUCCUUGUUAGAGGCUUUUCAGUAUAUGUGGAAUGCUAUACUAUGAUAGUAUGUUGCCUGCAAGAACGUUUUUGGUUGUUCAUCAGUCGAUGCCUCGUGAUACAUGUGUUUUCAGAGCUGAUAAUUGUUGAUUGCGAAAACCGAGGCUAGACUUGCAUGUUGAGAUACUGUACCCUUUGUAUGUUUGUGACCUGAAAGUGAAUGGGACCUAGACGCGUUGAUUCCUAGGGAUCCCACGGUGUCGAUAACCGUGAACCUCCGGAGGGGGCUGUGCUCCUAUGUUUGUCGGGGAAAGGUAAGUACAGACAGUGAACCAGUCAUAGGAGACUCAGAGCCAGGAAAUGGACACUUUCGCUACUUGUAGUCACAAGGACUACAAAGUAGUUGGCUGGUUCUCUUACUCAGGACGAACCAGAUCGGUCACUGAUUUAUUUUACUUUAGCCGGCAGGUAAGUAUCUCGGAGCUCCAAGUGUGUGAAGCAUACUGCACAUGUUUAAUGAAAGAAAACGAAUGUUUGUGGUUGCCACUUUUCUUAAAGCAUUUUUCGAUAAACGUGCACAAUAUUAUGUAGUAAAUAUUUUCAAGUAUAUUAUUUUUUCAAACCUAGCAUGGUUGGGUCGGCCCCUACUGGGCAUGCGAGGACGAAAGCUCACCCCUACUAUAGUGUGCAGGUUUCGAGCAUGUGGUCGGGAAGCGUACAGGGGAGGCACAUGGCACGGCUUGGCGCAUUUCUCUUUAGUUUUAUCAAAAGAAGGUUUUGGUCCUUAAUCGGAUUUUGUAGUAGCUAGUUUAUUUACUUUUUAUUUAUUUCCUACUCGUUUACAAAAAAAUUCCGGGAGACCCGUAACCCUGGGGCGCGUCUCCCAUACUUGUAGUUACUUAGUGAUCCGUUUUAUUUUCCAAAUUGGGCUCCGAUUGCAAGCCCAAAACUCUUAGCCCAUUUCGAAUUCCGCUUUUGACAAUGUGUUGUUAGGUUGCUAGAAUGAUUUGUCCAAGAAAGUGUUUUGUAAACCAACAACCUAAACUCAAAAGGCCUUGCGGUUUCGGGUUGAUGAGCUAUCGAGAUGCCAUUCGUGACAUGUCGAUUCCUCAUUGGCUCGGAGUCGCGGCGCUGUGGGACCCCCCUUUCGGGUCACGACAGUA